rnacentral:rRNA from 1 species
GACGAACGCUGGCGGCUUGCUUAACACAUGCAAGUCGAACGGAAAGGCCCUGCUUUUGUGGGGUGCUCGAGUGGCGAACGGGUGAGUAACACGUGAGUAACCUGCCCUUGACUUUGGGAUAACUUCAGGAAACUGGGGCUAAUACCGGAUAGGAGCUCCUGCUGCAUGGUGGGGGUUGGAAAUUUUCGGCGGUUGGGGAUGGACUCGCGGCUUAUCAGCUUGUUGGUGGGGUAGUGGCUUACCAAGGCUUUGACGGGUAGCCGGCCUGAGAGGGUGACCGGCCACAUUGGGACUGAGAUACGGCCCAGACUCCUACGGGAGGCAGCAGUGGGGAAUAUUGCACAAUGGGCGGAAGCCUGAUGCAGCAACGCCGCGUGCGGGAUGACGGCCUUCGGGUUGUAAACCGCUUUCGCCUGUGACGAAGCGUGAGUGACGGUAAUGGGUAAAGAAGCACCGGCUAACUACGUG